AGCGAACGCUGGCGGCAGGCCUAACACAUGCAAGUCGAACGAACUCUUCGGAGUUAGUGGCGGACGGGUGAGUAACACGUGGGAACGUGCCUUUAGGUUCGGAAUAACUCAGAGAAACUUGUGCUAAUACCGAAUGUGCCCUUCGGGGGAAAGAUUUAUCGCCUUUAGAGCGGCCCGCGUCUGAUUAGCUAGUUGGUGAGGUAAAGGCUCACCAAGGCGACGAACAGUAGCUGGUCUGAGAGGAUGAUCAGCCACAUUGGGACUGAGACACGGCCCAAACUCCUACGGGAGGCAGCAGUGGGGAAUCUUGCGCAAUGGGCGAAAGCCUGACGCAGCCAUGCCGCGUGAAUGAUGAAGGUCUUAGGAUUGUAAAAUUCUUUCACCGGGGACGAUAAUGACGGUACCCGGAGAAGAAGCCCCGGCUAACUUCGUGCCAGCCGCCGCUGUAA
rnacentral:rRNA from 1 species